rnacentral:rRNA from 1 species
UACGUAGGGUGCGAGCGUUGUCCGGAAUUAUUGGGCGUAAAGAGCUUGUAGGCGGUCUGUCGCGUCUGCUGUGAAAGUCCGGGGCUCAAUUCCGGAUCUGCGGUGGGUACGGGCAGACUAGAGUGAUGUAGGGGAGACUGGAAUUCCUGGUGUAGCGGUGAAAUGCGCAGAUAUCAGGAGGAACACCGAUGGCGAAGGCAGGUCUCUGGGCAUUAACUGACGCUGAGGAGCGAAAGCAUGGGGAGCGAACAGG